rnacentral:rRNA from 1 species
AGAGUUUGAUCCUGGCUCAGAACGAACGCUGGCGGCGUGCUUAACACAUGCAAGUCGAGUGCGCGGUUGUAGCAAUACGACUGGCGCACGGCGCACGGGUGCGUAACACGUGGGCAAUCUGCCCUUCGAUGGGGAAUAUCUUCGGGAAACCGAAGCGAAUUCCGCAUAACAUUCCUUGGACUUCGGUUCGAGGACUCAAAGCCGCAAGGCGUCGAAGGAGGAGCCCGCGCCCGAUUAGCUAGUUGGUAGGGUAACGGCCUACCAAGGCAAUGAUCGGUAGCUGGUCUGAGAGGAUGGCCAGCCACACUGGAACUGAGACACGGUCCAGACUCCUACGGGAGGCAGCAGUGGGGAAUCUUGCACAAUGGGCGAAAGCCUGAUGCAGCGACGCCGCGUGGGGGAUGAAGCAUCUCGGUGUGUAAACCCCUUUCGACCCGGAAGAAUGCCUCGCAAGAGGACUGACGGUACGGGUAUAAGAAGCCCCGGCUAACUACGUGCCAGCAGCCGCGGUAAGACGUAGGGGGCCAGCGUUGUUCGGAAUUACUGGGUGUAAAGGGUUCGUAGGCGGUGCGGCAAGUUGGGAGUGAAAUCUCUGGGCUCAACCCAGAGGCUGCUUCCAAAACUGCUGUGCUUGAGUGUGGGAGAGGCGCGUGGAAUUGCAGGUGUAGCGGUGAAAUGCGUAGAUAUCUGCAGGAACACCCGUGGCGAAAGCGGCGCGCUGGACCACUACUGACGCUGAGGAACGAAAGCUAGGGGAGCAAACAGGAUUAGAUACCCUAGUAGUCC